CUUAGUGGCGGACGGGUGAGUAACGCGUGGGGAUUUGCCCUAGAGUGGGGAACAACAUUUGGAAACGAAUGCUAAUACCGCAUACGCCCUUUUGGGGAAAGGCUUCGGCCGCUCUUGGAUGAUCCCGCGUCUGAUUAGCUUGUUGGUAGGGUAAUGGCCUACCAAGGCGACGAUCAGUAGCUGGUCUGAGAGGAUGAUCAGCCACAUUGGGACUGAGACACGGCCCAAACUCCUACGGGAGGCAGCAGUGGGGAAUAUUGGACAAUGGGGGAAACCCUGAUCCAGCAAUGCCGCGUGAGUGAUGAAGGCCUUAGGGUUGUAAAGCUCUUUUACCCGGGAUGAUAAUGACAGUACCGGGAGAAUAAGCUCCGGCUAACUCCGUGCCAGCAGCCGCGGUAAUACGGAGGAUCCAAGCGUUAUCCGGAAUCAUUGGGUUUAAAGGGUCCGUAGGUGGAUAAUUAAGUCAGAGGUGAAAUCCUGCAGCUCAACUGUAGAAUUGCCUUUGAUACUGGUUAUCUUGAAUUAUUGUGAAGUGGUUAGAAUAUGUAGUGUAGCGGUGAAAUGCAUAGAUAUUACUUAGAAUACCAAUUGCGAAGGCAGAUCACUAAUAAUAUAUUGACGCUGAUGGACGAAAGCGUGGGGAGCGAACAGGAUUAGAUACCCUGGUAGUCCACGCCGUAAACGAUGGUCACUAGCUGUUCG
rnacentral:rRNA from 1 species